rnacentral:rRNA from 1 species
GACGAACGCUGGCGGCGUGCUUAACACAUGCAAGUCGAACGGUAAGGCCUUCGGGUACACGAGUGGCGAACGGGUGAGUAACACGUGGGUGAUCUGCCCUGCACUUUGGGAUAAGCCUGGGAAACUGGGUCUAAUACCGAAUAGGAUCAUGGCCUUCAUGGGUUGUGGUGGAAAGCUUUUGCGGUGUGGGAUGGGCCCGCGGCCUACAAGCUUGUUGGUGGGGUAAUGGCUUACCAAGGCGACGACGGGUAGCCGGCCUGAGAGGGUGUCCGGCCACACUGGGACUGAGAUACGGCCCAGACUCCUACGGGAGGCAGCAGUGGGGAAUAUUGCACAAUGGGCGCAAGCCUGAUGCAGCGACGCCGCGUGAGGGAUGACGGCCUUCGGGUUGUAAACCUCUUUCAGCAGGGACGAAGCGCAAGUGACGGUACCUGUAGAAGAAGGACCGGCCAACUACGUGCCAGCCGCCGCCGUAA